rnacentral:snRNA from 1 species
UUUCUUUUCUUUCUGAUCUUUUA